AGCAGCCGCGGUAAUUCCAGCUCCAAUAGCGUAUAUUAAAGUUGUUGCAGUUAAAAAGCUCGUAGUUGAAUUUCGGGAUCAAUAUAUUGGUCGUGCCUUCGGUAUGCACUGGUAUUAUUGAUUUCUACCUUCUGACAAACCAUGAUGUCAUUAAUUUGGUGUCAUGGGGAAUCAGGACUGUUACUUUGAAGAAAUUAGAGUGUUUAAAGCAGGCACACGCUUGAAUACAUUAGCAUGGAAUAAUGAAAUAGGACGUUUGAUCUUAUUUUGUUGGUUUCUAGGAUCGACGUAAUGAUUAAUAGGGAUAGUUGGGGGCAUUAGUAUUCAAUUGUCAGAGGUGAAAUUCUUGGAUUUAUUGAAGACUAACUACUGCGAAAGCAUUUGCCAAGGAUGUUUUCAUUAAUCAAGAACGAAAGUUAGGGGAUCGAAGACGAUCAGAUACCGUCGUAGUCUUAACCAUAAACUAUGCCGACUAGGGAUCGGAUGAUGUUAAUUUUUUAAUGACUCA
rnacentral:rRNA from 1 species